GACGAACGCUGGCGGCGUGCUUAACACAUGCAAGUCGAACGGAAAGGCCCUGCUUUUGUGGGGUGCUCGAGUGGCGAGCGGGUGAGUAACACGUGAGUAACCUGCCCUUGACUUUGGGAUAACUUCAGGAAACUGGGGCUAAUACCGGAUAGGAGCUCCUGCUGCAUGGUGGGGGUUGGAAAGUUUCGGCGGUUGGGGAUGGACUCGCGGCUUAUCAGCUUGUUGGUGGGGUAGUGGCUUACCAAGGCUUUGACGGGUAGCCGGCCUGAGAGGGUGACCGGCCAAAUUGGAACUGGGAUGCGGCCCAGACUCCUACGGGAGGAAGCAGUGGGGAAUAUUGCACAAUGGGCGGAAGCCUGAUGCAGCAACGCCGCGUGCGGGAUGACGGCCUUCGGGUUGUAAACCGCUUUCGCCUGUGACGAAGCGUGAGUGACGGUAAUGGGUAAAGAAGCACCGGCUAACUACGUG
rnacentral:rRNA from 1 species